rnacentral:lncRNA from 1 species
UGAGCCACCGUGCCUGGCUAAUUUUUGUAUUUUUAGUAGAGACAGGGUUUCACCAUGUUGGCCAGGCUGGUCUCGAACUCCUGACCUCGUGACCAGCCUGCCUCGGCUUCCCAAAGUGGUGGGAUUACAGGGUGAGCCACCGCGCCCCGCCUUGAAUAAGACUUUAUGAAACAGCAACCAGUUUCAUUUGAGCGGCCUUACCAUUUGAAAAUAAAUGAUGCCAUAUUUAACCAGAUGGUGAGUAUGGAAUUACUUUAUAUAAACUCAACUUGAUGCCAAUAGUUUUACAUAUAUCGGUUUCCUCAAUGUGGAGAAAAGAGAACUGUCUCUGGGGCCAGGAUGCCUGGGUUGGAGUCUUCUAAGUCACAGUGUGACUUUCAGCUAAUCUGUAUCUCUGCAGGCCUUAAUUUUCUGGUUUGGAAAAUGGAGGUAAGUAAAUGAGAGACUCUCCAAGAAUCUCCCAGCUUCAAAAAGCUUAGAUGCUAAUAUGUUGCAGAAAUCCCGGCAUGGAUUCAGAAUCUUCAAGUUUCAUUAUAGGACUUGCUUUUUAAUAGUCUUCCUGCAUCUUCUUCCCCUUAUUGCAACUCAGUCAAUUAGUCAAUUUCUCUGCAUUUUAGUUUUGUUCUAUUUGUCAAAUGGAGAUAAUAAGAGAUGCCUUAGAGGGACUCAGGGAGGAUAAACUAAUUAAUGGUCAUAAAGUCCUAGUGUCCUUGAGCCUGCUAAGUGGUCAUGAUUCUAAACAGAUCUUUAUAGCUUCUUGGCCGCUCACUGCUUUAGCAUUAGACAGAACCAUUUAUUUUUUCUUAUUUUUUAAUUUUCAUUAUUGUUUCCUAUAAAGGACAGCACCUUACAACAUGAUUUUUUUUUUUUAAAUCAACAUGACACAUGGAAGCAAUGGGAAGAAGCAUAUCAGAAGCAAAGGCCAGGCUGGGCGCAGUGGCUCAGGCCUGUAAUCCCAGCACUUUGGGAGGCUGAGGCAGGUGGAUCACCUGAGGUCGGGAAUUUGAGACCAGCCUGGCCAACAUGGUGAAACCCCAUCUCUACUAAAAAUACAAAAAUUAGCCGGGCGUGGUGGUGCACAUCUGUAAUCCCAGCUACUUGGGAGGGUGAGGCAUGAGAAUCGCUUGAACCUGGGAGGUGGAGGUUGCAGUGAGCCGAGAUCAUGCCACUGCAUUCCAGCCUGGGUGACAGAGUGAGACUCCAUCGAAAAAAAAAAAAAAAAGCAAAAGCCAGAAUACUGGCUAGGAAGGGUAUGAAGGAGGUGAUAGGAGGUGUGAGUUGAGGGAGGAAGAAAUCUGGGAAUGAAAGAAAUGACUGUUGAGUCGAGGUCUUUGGGACCUGAGCUUCUGGGAGGUCUUUCUUGCUGGUAGGAUUUGGGAAGGGCUUUGGGUUCAACAUUCUCUUUCCUUGCUUACCUUUGUCAUAUGUGAUGGGUAGGCAACAAAGCCCUUUCUUAAGAGUUAAAUCUUGUUAUGCCACUGAGAUCCUGGCGAGCUCAUUCAAAAUACCAAUUUAGUUUCUUUACUUGUUGAUCUAAGUUAUGUUCUGGGCAAUUUGGGACUUUUGAGAAGCAGGAAAACAUAUUUCAGAAUACAACAUAAACAUGAACCAUUGACUACAUCCAUCCAGGCUUUAUUUUUUUAAGUUAAUUAAUUUUUUUUUUCAAGAUGGGGGUCUUGUUAUGUCACCCAGCCUGGCCUCAAACUCCUGGGCUCAAGUAAUCCUCCUGUCUGAGCCUCCUGAGUAGCUGGGACUACCAGCCUAUGCCAUCUCAUCCUAGGUUCUAGUUCUUCUUUGAAGCCUUUUAAAAUGUUUUCAGUGGAAAUUAAUUCCUUCCUCCUGAUAUUUCCAUAUUGCUUUCUGAAUUGUCAUAUAUUAGAGCUAUUUAUAUAAUUACCCUGAUAAUAAAGUUUAAUUUCCUCGAUGUUAGAGAACCUAUGUUAUUCAUCUAUCUGCAAGCUCCCUGAAGUGUCUAGAAACAACUUUCAAUAUAGAAAGUCUUCAACAACUACUUAUAGAACUAAAUCAUGUUAUUUUAUAUAAAGAAAGAAUAUGGAAGAAUUGAGUGACAGGAUUUUACGAUUUUGAGAUUUUUGAUUUUCUUGCAUUUAUCACUCAGAUAUAUUUUACACCUUUUUUUUUUGUUUUGUUUUUCUUGGUUUAACAUUAUCUUUGGGGCCAGAAUUCUCCUUUUGAUGUAAUGGCAUGGGAUUAGUUUAUGUGGUAAUCUAGUUAUAUCAACUUGGAAGCAGAGAACAGUGACCUAGAAGGGAAAAUGAGAUGAAAUUAAUUUUGUUUGGGGCAAGGGAUGGCUAGGUAGAUUUAGAAUGGAAGAUGACAGGUACUAUGGCAGAGGUGGCAGAGGAAAAAUUUGCUCUAUGAGGUGACCCUGGGGCAGCUUCGAUUCUGGUUAUGUAACCCCUGACUCAGAUAGGUCCUCUCUGUGAGUCUCUUGAUAUGGAGCAGAUGAGGUCCCUGGCUGCCCUAUGUCACAAAGAAGUUUCAAGAAAUAAACACUGAUUCUGUCUGUCUUAUGAUUUGGUCUAACUUCGGAUAAUGAUGUACACUGUCAGCAGAUCCUUCUGCUGCAAUUUUACCAUGUAAUUUGCUAAGGAAUAUUUACCUUUGCACUCAAUGCAUCCAGAAAGUAGAGAUAGAAGGUUGUAUUUUCAUGCUCUUGCUAGGGUAAAGGAAAGUUUACUGACCUCAAAGCCAUGUGUUUUUAUCUUAGAGUGGGAAAAUACACAGAAUCAAAGAACUGAAGUGUUCUAGAUCUGCCUCUGCCUCAAGAAGUUUCCUGGUUCCCCGUCUCAUUUCACAAAUGAGGAUACGGAGGCCUAGAGGCUUAAACAAUAUGCCCAAGACAGCAAGACAGGGAUCAGAGCCCAGGUUUCUGGCUCUGAGUCCUGGAUAUUACUUGCUAUUUUUUCCCCAUGUGGAUAUUACUUGCUAUUUUUAUGUGGUAUUGUGUAGCUUAAAUUCAUACAGGUGAGUAUAUUUGUUUGAACUUAUAUUUCCCUUCAUUCAUUGUACCAUAUACAAUUUGAUACAAUUGAGCUUUUUUCUGUUUUUUUUUUUCUUUUUUUUUUUUGACAGGGUUUUGCUCUGUCACCCAGGCUGAAAUGCAGUGGCAAGAUCUUGGCUCACUGCAACCUCCAACUCCUGGGUUCAAGUGAUUCUCCUGCCUCAGCAUCCCGAGUAGCUUGGACUACAGGCACACACCACCAUGCUCAGCUAAUUUUUGUAUUUUUUGGUGGAGACAGGGUUUUACCAUGUUGCCCAGGCUGGUCCUGAACUCCUGACCUCAAGUGUUCUGCCCACCUCAGCUUCCCAGAGUACU